UACGGGGGGAGCAAGCGUUGUUCGGAUUUACUGGGCGUAAAGGGCGCGUAGGCGGCCACCGCAAGUCGACUGUGAAAUCUCCGGGCUUAACCCGGAAAGGUCAGCCGAUACUGCGGGGCUAGAGUGCAGAAGGGGCAACUGGAAUUCUCGGUGUAGCGGUGAAAUGCGUAGAUAUCGAGAGGAACACCUGCGGCGAAAGCGCUCUACUGGGCCAUAACUGACACUGAGGGACGAAAGCUAGGGGAGCGAAAGGG
rnacentral:rRNA from 1 species